UCGAACGGAAAGGCCCCUUCGGGGGUGCUCGAGUGGCGAACGGGUGAGUAACACGUGGGUGAUCUGCCCUGCACUUUGGGAUAAGCCUGGGAAACUGGGUCUAAUACCGAAUACACCUUCCUGGUUGCAUGGCUGGGUUGGGAAAGCUUUUGCGGUGUGGGAUGGGCCCGCGGCCUAUCAGCUUGUUGGUGGGGUGAUGGCCUACCAAGGCGACGACGGGUAGCCGGCCUGAGAGGGUGUCCGGCCACACUGGGACUGAGAUACGGCCCAGACUCCUACGGGAGGCAGCAGUGGGGAAUAUUGCACAAUGGGCGCAAGCCUGAUGCAGCGACGCCGCGUGAGGGAUGACGGCCUUCGGGUUGUAAACCUCUUUCAAUAGGGACGAAGCGCAAGUGACGGUACCUCCAGAAGAAGCCCCGGCUAACUACGUGCCAGCAGCCGCGGUAAUACGUAGGGGGCAAGCGUUGUCCGGAAUCAUUGGGCGUAAAGCGCGUGUAGGCGGUCCGGUAAGUCGGCUGUGAAAGUCCAGGGCUCAACCCUGGGAUGCCGGUCGAUACUGCCGGACUAGAGUUCGGAAGAGGCGAGUGGAAUUCCCGGUGUAGCGGUGAAAUGCGCAGAUAUCGGGAGGAACACCUAUGGCGAAGGCAGCUCGCUGGGACGUUACUGACGCUGAGACGCGAAAGCGUGGGGAGCAAACAGGAUUAGAUACCCUGGUAGUCCACGCCGUAAACGAUGGGCACUAGGUGUGGGAGGUGUCGACUCCUCCCGUGCCGGAGCUAACGCAUUAAGUGCCCCGCCUGGGGAGUACGGCCGCAAGGCUAAAACUCAAAGGAAUUGACGGGGACCCGCACAAGCAGCGGAGCAUGUGGUUUAAUUCGACGCAACGCGAAGAACCUUACCUGGGUUUGACAUGUUCCUGACCGCCCUGGAAACAGGGCUUCCCUUCGGGGCAGGAUCACAGUGGU
rnacentral:rRNA from 1 species